GAUGAACGCUGGCGGCGUGCCUAACACAUGCAAGUCGAACGGAGUCGUUUUGGAAAUCUCUUCGGAGAUGGAAUUCUCGACUUAGUGGCGGACGGGUGAGUAACGCGUGAGCAAUCUGCCUUUAAGAGGGGGAUAACAGUCGGAAACGGCUGCUAAUACCGCAUAAAGCAUUAAAUUCGCAUGUUUUUGAUGCCAAAGGAGCAAUCCGCUUUUAGAUGAGCUCGCGUCUGAUUAGCUAGUUGGCGGGGUAACGGCCCACCAAGGCGACGAUCAGUAGCCGGACUGAGAGGUUGAACGGCCACAUUGGGACUGAGACACGGCCCAGACUCCUACGGGAGGCAGCAGUGGGUAAUAUUGCGCAAUGGGGGAAACCCUGACGCAGCAACGCCGCGUGAUUGAAGAAGGCCUUCGGGUUGUAAAGAUCUUUAAUCAGGGACGAAACAAAUGACGGUACCUGAAGAAUAAGCUCCGGCUAACUACGUG
rnacentral:rRNA from 1 species